AAAUUAGGUUACCUUGUCAUUUUUCCCCUCCCCCUCCUGGGUCGACGACUUCCUAGACUUUCUCCGCUGCCAGACGCGGCGCCCACCGCCGUUCCGCCAACGACUCCAUCACCUUCCUCGAGGCCCCCUUCGCCACCCCCGCCCCCGCCCCCGCAACCGCCGAGGAAUGCUGCACCGCUGCGGCCGUCGUGUCCGCUGCCGGACCCACCGCCCUCUUCGACCGUUUCGACGACGAGCAGUUCCUUUCCAUGUUCUCUGACGAAGUCUCCGUCGCCGUGCCGACGAGGGGAUCGUCCCCCUCCAACCCCUCCACACCGUCGGAUCAAAACAGCAACAACGAAGAGAGGCCUCCGCCCUUGGAUUAGUGCCACCACCAGCACCCAAAACACGAGCCAGGAGAGGUCGACAGCUCAUCCGAGGCCGACCCAAAAGCUCGCUGCCCUUCCUCCGCCGAUCCCGUCGUCGAUCCGAAGAGGGCCAAGAGAGAUUGAGGUGAUGACUCCUGAGUAACUUAUCUUUAACAAAAUUUUAUGUGCUUUCUCUGUGUGCCCUUCACUGUUAGAGGUGGGGAAGGUAAUUAUAGCAUGGAUAAAACCAUGGGGAAUCCUGAGAAGCUGAAGAAAAGAGUGGCUUUUGUCCUGAUAGAUGGGCUGGGCGAUGUGUCCUUGCCAAGGCUUGGAUACAAGACGCCUUUGCAAGCGGCUAAGAUACCCAAUUUAGAUGCCAUUGCUUCUGCUGGAGUUAAUGGUCUCGUGGAUCCUGUUGAAGUGCGAUUGGCUUGCGGCAGUGACACAGCCCACCUUUCUUUAUUGGGUUAUGACCCUAGAGUUUAUUACUGGGGGCGUGGUGCUUUUGAGUCCAUGGGUGCUGGAUUGGCAAUGUCUCUUGGGGAUAUUGCAUUUAAGGGAAAGAAGUAUCAUGUAUGGGGAAAGGCGUUUUGUGAUUCUCACCUAAACAUGAGACCUUUGAAGGCUAUCUCCUGAUGUAUGUGUACUCUGAAAAAAAUUCUGAGACGGCUUCUCAUCUUCUUUUGCAUUGUGAAUUUUCUUGGAGGAUUUGGAGUAUGUUUUUUUGGUAUUUCUGGAGAGCUGGGUUUGCCCUUCUUCGGUUGGUAAAUUGCUAGCUAUUUCUUUCAAAGGCUUUGGUGGGAGAAAGGACAAGCAAAUCCUAUGGAAGUGUGGAAUAGUCACAGUUUUAUGGGGGCUAUGGUUGGUAUUGCAAGGAUAUUCAACGGGAAGAAAUUAAAUGGGGUGUUGGUUUGGGAAAAAAUUCAGCUAUUUGGCCUCAUUGUGGUGCACUGGUUUGGGGCUUUUUUCAGAGGAAUUAGUUUCUGGGAGUUACAUAGAAAUAGAGGAACAUUUUGGAAUAAGGAUUUAUUAUUUUUUGGUAUUUUUAGCUGUUUUUACUGGAUAAUUUCAGGCCCUUUUCAGAAAGAUGUCUCAUUCUCUCGUGUAAAUUCUCUUCCUACGAAUAAAAUUUAUUUUGGUAUUAAAAAAUAUAAAGAAGAAGAUAUACCUUAUAUCUGAUUUUGUUAGCUUCACCAAUGACAAAGUAACAUGUCUGAUGUCAAGUGAUUUUGAAGCUGAGACCUCAGCAAGUAUACUAGAGUUUCUCUGGUGAUUAUUCUUCCUUUUUUUUUUUUGUUUUUUUUCCUAGUCUUAUAAGGUUAUUAGUAGUUAUUGGUUUUUCCUUAUUUUGACUCUGAUCUCCAGUCAAACUUUGCAACCUUUGAUGUGAAAACUGGAAUAGUCAUCAGUAGGAGGGCUCACAGACACUUUGAAGAAGAAGGGUCCAUCUUCUGUGCGGCACUGGAUGGAAUUUGUUGCCAUUCUUUCCUCAAUAUGAGGUUAGAGCCAGGCAAUAGAUGAUGCUGGUCAUGAUAAGGCAAGCAUCUUGAAAGCCAGAGCACUGGAAGCUGUUGACCGAGCUGUAGGGCAGCUGGUCAGGCUCCUCUGACAGGCUGAAUCUACUGGAAACUUGGACUACACCCUUUGCGUAACUGGCUACCACUCUACUCCUGUUGAAUCUAGAGAUCAUAGCUUUGACGCGGUUCCUUUUGCAUUGUGUCGAUUGAAGGAUUUUGUGGAUGUUGUGGGUGCGGGGGACAUUAUUCUUUCUAGGGACUUCCCUUAACCCGUUACCUCUUCCAGCUGUGGAGGAUGGUGAAGAUUGCAUGAUUGAAGAAGUGCAGAGGAACAAAUCACUUCAAGCUUUUAGUGGCAACUCAGUUUGCGAGUUCAAUGAGAUGGCUGCUGCAAAGAGAUAUCUUGGGCGUUUUCCUGGAAGUGAGAUGAUGGGGAUCAUAAAAAUGUUCCUAGAACUAAGUUGAAAUCGUGAGAUUAUUUUUAUUGGUUUUAGGUAGCAUAAGAUGAGUAGGAUUUCGAUCCUUUGCUCUUUGGUUAUCUACUUUUUAAGAAUCUCCAUUUUCUCAUCUAUGGGAUUAUUUAUGAGGGAAGUGAUUGAGGCCAAGCUGCUAAACCAUGGGGUUCGGAUAUGUGAAUUUACAUAUGGUUGUAAUAAAUUUUCCUUGUUUAUUGUAAAUUUAAACUUUAUUUUGUA